UUAGAUAUAGUGUUUACUUGGCCGGAAUUAGAGUUGGUAAGAACAGACAUAGUUACGACGGCCUCCUGCUAUUGCAAAAUAUACAAGUCACAACUUACACCCUCUCUGAUGGGUUUCUAAAGGUUGGUUCUUAGAAGGUCUUCAACAACCACAAAAGAAUUCUGAUCCCGAAGCUCAAGACAUUGACUUUUUGGGAUAUUUCUUAAACAUAUACUCCUUAAAGAGGGGGUCUUCCUCCUUUUUGUACAUCUGGAAUAGUUGCCUGUAGUAAUUCCUUGCUAGUUUUCGGCACUCGUCGAUGCCUUUGGAGUCAUAUUGCUGC
rnacentral:lncRNA from 1 species